rnacentral:rRNA from 1 species
AACGUAGGUGGCAAGCGUUAUCCGGAAUUACUGGGCGUAAAGGGUGUGCAGGCGGGGAAGCAAGUGGUGUAUGAAAUCUCCCAGCUUAACUGGGAUAGGUUAUGCCAGACUGCUUUUCUAGAGGACGAGAGAGGGGGGUGGAAUUCCGGGUGUAGUGGUGAAAUGCGUAGAGAUCCGGAGGAACCCCAGAGGCGAAGGCAGCUCGCUGGGACGGUACUGACGCUGAGGCGCGAAAGCGUGGGGAGCGAACAGG